UCAUUGGUGGUUCAGUGGUAGAGUUCUCGCCUCUCACGUGGGAGACCUAGGUUAGAUUUCUGGCCAAUGCA
rnacentral:tRNA from 1 species